GCACAAGCGGUGGAGUAUGUGGUUUAAUUCGAUGCAACGCGAAGAACCUUACCUGGUCUUUGACAUCCCGGAGACCCUUAGGAAACUAGGGGGUGCUUCCAUCUGGAAGAAUCUGGAGACAGGUGCUGCAUGGCUGUCGUCAGCUCGUGUCGUGAGAUGUUGGGUUAAGUCCCGCAACGAGCGCAACCCUUGCCUUUAGUUGCCAGCAGUUCGGCUGGGCACUCUAAAGGGACUGCCGGUGUUAAACCGGAGGAAGGUGGGGAUGACGUCAAGUCCUCAUGGCCUUUAUGACCAGGGCUACACACGUACUACAAUGGCCGAUACAAAGGGCAGCGACACUGCGAGGUGAAGCCAAUCCCGUAAAAUCGGUCUCAGUCCGGAUUGGAGUCUGCAACUCGACUCCAUGAAGUUGGAAUCGCUAGUAAUCGUGGAUCAGCAUGCCACGGUGAAUACGUUCCCGGGCCUU
rnacentral:rRNA from 1 species